AGCGAACGCUGGCGGCGUGCUUAACACAUGCAAGUCGAGUGCGUAGCCCUUUGUAGCAAUACAGAGGGUGGGCGCACGGCGCACGGGUGAGUAACACGUGGGUAACCUGCCCUUCGUGGGGAAUAACCCGCGAAAGCGGGGCUAAUUCCGCAUAACAUUCCGGGGACACAUGUUCUCGGACUCAAAGGAGUGAUUCGCCGGAGGAGGGGCCCGCGCCCGAUUAGCUUGUUGGUAGGGUAACGGCCACCAAGGCUUUGAUCGGUAGCCGGUCUGAGAGGAUGGCCGGCCACACUGGAACUGAGACACGGUCCAGACUCCUACGGGAGGCAGCAGUGGGGAAUCUUGGGCAAUGGGGCGCAAGCCUGACCCAGCGACGUCGCGUUGGGGAAGAAGGCCUUCGGG
rnacentral:rRNA from 1 species